AUGGCUAAACGCUCGAGAGGUCCG
rnacentral:siRNA from 1 species